GCUGGUGACUAUGGCGAGAAGGAAACACACGUUCCCAUCCCGAACACGCCUGUUAAGCUUCUCAGCGGCGAUGGUACUUGGGCGUUAGGCCCCGGGAGAGUAGCACGUCGCCAGCC
rnacentral:rRNA from 1 species